rnacentral:rRNA from 1 species
CCUACGGGUGGCAGCAGUGAGGAAUAUUGGUCAAUGGGCGGAAGCCUGAACCAGCCAAGUCGCGUGAGGGAUUAAGGCCCUGCGGGUCGUAAACCUCUUUUGCCGGGGAGCAGAGGUCCAGACGUGUCCGGGCCGGGAGAGUACCCGGAGAAAAAGCAUCGGCUAACUCCGUGCCAGCAGCCGCGGUAAUACGGAGGAUGCGAGCGUUAUCCGGAUUGACUGGGCGUAAAGGGUGCGUAGGUGGUUUGACAAGUUGGUAGCGUAACUCCGGAGCUCAACUUCGGAACUACCACCAAAACUGUGGGACUCGAGUGCAGGAGGGGCAACUGGAAUUUCUAGUGUAGCGGUGGAAUGCGUAGAUAUUAGGAAGAACACCGGUGGCGAAGGCGAGUUGCUGGACUGUAACUGACACUGAGGCACGAAAGCGUGGGGAGCAAACAGGAUUAGAUACCCUUGUAGUC